ACAGACUGAACGGAAAAGAGCAGAAGCUUGUUUAAUUUGAUUUGAACUUCCGCAAUUGCAUAAUUGCCACAUUUCUCUAUCUGACAUUGCUCUCUUUAUUAUUAUUUGAUUGUUUCAUUUGCUUGGCUAUGGAAGUUCAUAAAUUAGUAGGAGGACGUGGGCUAUUUCGAGAUGAAAGCGAAAUUUCACUCUUUACGCUUCUCAAUUCCGACAGAGUGAUAAAACGGUUUGCCAAAUGCCCGUCUAUCGCUAUUGGCGACAGUGUACCAAAGACAUCCAGUUUUGCUUCACCUACCGAUACACUAAGAUACUCAGCUGAAAAAUUUGCUUCGAGAAUCCGCUUUUCCUUAAAAUACAGUCACAUCGUUUAUCAAAAAUUAUAGCCACAAUACGUGAGUAAUAAAUUCACGCACAGAUGAGUUUCCCUGUUGGGAAAAGAAGACAGCUUGCUUUCAGUACAUUUACCUUACAAUCAGCUUGUAGAGUUCUCUUUGUAUAAUAUAAAUAGAUGGGUUCGUGCCCAAUUUUUUCUCAAAUUGAAGCCUACAAUAUAUUAGCAUAGUUAUGAUAUGACUCCAACCUUCCAAACAUACAUUAAUGAAACGUGAUAACUACAGGCUAAAUUUGUGUGUUUUCUUGUCCUCCCCCCCAUAAAUGUUAGAUAAAAACAAUUUAUUUAUUUAUUUCUAAAAACAGAGCUUACUCCCAGAGUAAGUCAGACACAAGGUUGGGUAAAAAUUUCUCAGACGUGCAAUCCAUAAUGAAAGAAAAACAAAUCCCUUCAAUAAAAUUGCAUUUCUUCAAGGAAAACCAACCAUUUUCGUGCAAAUAAAUAUUCAUUGAAUGGAUAUUAAAAGAGAAAUGAGUAAAGAUAAAAAGAGAAACAACUAUUAAUAUGCAAAGUAGGAAAAAAAGAAAAAGAAAAUACAAUUCACUUCAAUAUCGAAAAGUGUGCAACCAGUUUAACCACCGAAACCAUAAAUGGUACGGCCUUGACGCUUCAAAGAGUAGACAACGUCCAAGGAAGUGACAGUCUUACGCUUGGCGUGUUCAGUGUAGGUAACUGCAUCACGGAUAACGUUUUCCAAGAAAAGCUUGAGAACGGCACGAGUCUCUUCGUAAACCAAAGCAGAAAUACGCUUAACACCGCCACGACGAGCAAGACGACGAAUGGCAGGCUUAGUAAUACCUUGAAUGUUAUCACGAAGGAUCUUACGAUGGCGCUUAGCACCACCCUUUCCCAAUCCUUUACCACCUUUUCCACGACCAGACAUCUUAUAUGAGUAAUGGGAUUCCUGUAAGUUCAAACAAACUGACUACCAAUUGAUCAAUUUACAAUAUCAAAAACUAAUUUUCAAGCGCAAACACUGAAAUUCCUAUGAUUUGAAUUUCAAUGGCUUCUCGUACUAGUCGUAGUAGUUACUGUGUAAGUGCUGUAGUUAGGCGUCCAUCUCCAUAUAUAUAUACAUUUUUUCAGGUAGCGGGGA